rnacentral:hammerhead_ribozyme from 1 species
AUCCGGCUGACGAGUUCCAAAUAGGACGAAACGCGUGUCCUGAAU